rnacentral:lncRNA from 1 species
AAGGAAGGGGGACUCCAGAGGAAAAACCCUGAUGAAGACACAGUUCUCAGCCUUUAAUGAUUUAUUUUGUCUUAUUAGGGCUACACCUGCAGCAUAUGGAGCCUUGCAGAUGUGACACUGUUUUAAUCAUGUUGGCUCUUAAAAAUGGAAUUCUGGAGUUCCCUGGUGGCUCAGUGGGUUAAGGAUCCGGCGUUGUCACUGCUGUGGCUCUGGUUACUGCCGUGGUGCGGGUUUGAUCCCUGACCUGGAAACUGACACAUGCUGUGGGUGCGGCCAAAAAAAUGGAGUUCUGAGACAGUUCUCAAUCUUGUGCCUGCUGUUUCAAAGAAAGCCUGGUGUUCAUUACUUAGUUCACUUAUCAGCAAAUGUUGGGUCUGGUGGUGAAGAGGGGUGGAAACUGGGGAGAACACUGGUUCUGGGCUGCCUGGGGAACCUUGGACAGGGAUUUAGCUUCUCUGAGCCUCAUUUUGUUUAUCUGUAGAGGCAGUAAUUGACCGUGUCAUUGAAAUAAGCAAUGCGAAACUUAAGUCAGACCUGGCACACAGCACACCCUUCCUGAGGGUUAUUAGUCAUUCCCUCUCACUUCCAUGGAGUUCAAGGGUACAGGUGGCUGGAGAUGCCUUCUCCCUUUAUCCAGCAGCCCUGCACAGUAGAUCUUAUCUAGCAUUUUAUGGAGAAGGCAACCCAGAGAAAUUACCAAGCUUGUCCAAGGACACAAGCUAAUAAUAAGUGGUAGAGUUAGAAGACCGUGAUAAAAGACCUCCCCUCGGCACCUUGGGGAGGUACCAGGCUGAGGGGUUUCUGUGACUAUCUUAGCAGGAACUUGGUUGCCUUGCCUGGAGCUCUGAAUUAGGAGCCUCAGCCUAAAAACAGACACCCAGGCAAGACUUUCUGAGUCCUCUUGGGAGAGAGCAUCUGUGGUGUGAGUCUCUCCAGGGCUAGUGAGGAAGGUUCUAGAAGACAGGAUUCAAGGCUGCUGCUUUUGAAGAAUGGAAUCAUGAGGGUCUUGGGAAAUAAGUAGUGAGUUCCUGCCCAGUUUUAUGCCUUGGUUUUCUCUCUGUCCCAUGGAAAUGAAAAGGUCACCAUUGGCUGCCUGCUGCUUGAGCCCAGCCCGCACCUGUUGGUGGCCUGCAAGGGGCCUGCUCUGAAUGCACAAAGGGAGGCUGGGGAGGAAGCCUGACCUUGGCUCGGGGAGGCCUCGGGAGAUAAAGCUCAGACAAGGGAUCGAGAGCCUGCGCAGCUUCCAUGGCUGAUUGCCAGCUGGGACAGUGGGCUGAGCCCAUGUUUGCUGCAGCCCCUGUGCUUGUCCGAAGACUUAAUCAGAGAAGGGAGGGCACACAGCCUGUAGACUCACCCAUCACUGUGCCCUUUAUAACCUGGAGCGUCUCCCUCUCUGUUACCUGAGAAAAAGCUGCCCCCCUCCCCGCCCCCUGACACAGAAGGCUCCUGGAAGCCCAGCCCCGCAGGUGAGUGGCUCAGAGAUUGGGUGGUGGUUGGGGGAUCAGAAGGCAGGGAGGGUUGUGCAGAUGGGAGGGGAAGGUGGAAGUAAGUGUGACCGAGAUGAAGGGGUCUCCUGGGACGUGGGAUUUGGGGGCUAAAAUGGGAAAGCCCCAGGCAAAUCGGGACCAGUUGGUCACCCUAGUCAGGCAGAGUCCUGCCACCCCGGCUGUGGCACUGGGCAGGCUGGGUCAUGAUGGACCUGAAAGAGGGGGCCCCUUGAGGCUCAGUGCCCCCUCAGACUUGAUUGCAUGAAGAAUCCGUGACUCUGCUGUCCCCCAAGUCUGUGAGCACAGGAUGGCAGAAACCACCCUAUCCUCGGGCCAGCUCCUGCCUGUCCCCAAGCACAGAACAUUUAGUAAGCGCUGGAGGAUGAAGGAAUGAGGGGUGAGGGCCUCUGCCAAAUUACUCAGGUGCUGGUUCAUGCUUUGCUACUUUGCACAUGCUGUUCCCUCUCCUACAUGCCCUUCCCUGCCUUGACAGUCCCUGACCACACGUGUCCCCUCUGAGCCAAACCUUAACUCCCUGACGGGCUUGCUCUGUUCAUGCUUCUGCCCCCUGCCCCCAGCAGUGACCCCCUCCAGGGAAGGUCCCAGCUUAGUAUUUGCUCUGCUGCCCUUGGCGCCUGGAGGUGCCGUAAAGCUUUCUUGAGCAGAUGAAUGGCGCUGACUGCAUAGAGCAAAGAGUCAUUCACUCGCCAACUUCUGGCCGAGGGCCUGCUGCAGGCCAGGCACUGUCCUAGGCACAGGGGCAGGAGCAGUGGAUAUGACUAACAAAAUCUUUGCUCUGAUAGAACUUACAUUCUAGAUGGUUCUAGAAGCAUCUAGAUCUAAUGAACAAGCAAUAAGUCAACAGACCGUAUCAGAAGGUCCAGUGCGCUGAAGGCGAUGCAAAGGAGAAGGCAGGCGUCCGAGUCCUUGCCAGGUGCUGGCAGGCCGAGGCGGAGGCCACAGCUCCCUGGAGGGGAAGUGAUUCAGGCCCAGCACAUGUGGCUCCCUUCCCCUGGACGCAGCCAGCACAUACCUUCCCCUGGGUGGUGGCAGCCCCGCUGUUGAGUGUGGCCAACUCGGGGAGGGUGGCAUUUGCCUGUCGUGCAAAGUCCCUGCGAGGAAAUCCAUUAAAGCCACUAUUGUGCAAGAGAAGGCAGAAAACACAUUUUUGAAGGUCACGUGGUGUUGGUGCCUGGUGUGGGAGGCCCAGGGUGUGUCUGCGCCCCUGGCCCCCUGGGACCAGAUUGCAAAGAAUGGGGCUCACGUGCUGGCUGCCCCUCUCCCCCAGUGGGUGGGUGACCUUGCCAGGCAGUAGCAGGAGGGCUCGGGCUCCCCUAAGUGAUGGCUGGGGAGCCCAGGUCCCUCCAGGGGGAAAGGGAUACGCCCCCCUGCCAUUAGGUCAAGGGGGAGAAGGAGGGUGACAGUGCUGGUCAGCUUCCAGGCUGCACGCAACAGUGGGGUAUUGUCCACUGUGACUGACGGGGCGCUCACCCCCAGACACAGGCCCUUUGGGGAGGGAUGGGGUAGCAUCCAGCAGGGCCAGGUGCCCUGUGCCCAGAAAACAUGCUGCUCCCCAGAGCCCCACACGGCUUCUCUUUGCUGCCUGAAUGCAGGUGGCCCCUGGUGCUGAGGCCCAGGGGGCUCGAGGAGGCACCUCUGCAUCUGUAAAGGACAUGGCUCACCCCUGCUGGUGACACCGUCAUGUUGCCACCCCUGGAGAGCCAGGAACAAGUCAGUCCCCAGGCCGGUGCCCUUGGCUUCACACAGGCACAUCGUAAACCUGGCGUCUCGAAGCCCUGGCAGGAACGGGCAUGUGCUAAUUAUAAUCUACACGGCCUGUUAACCAUUGACCUUGGACUCCAAGGAGGCGAAGGCUCCAGGGGGGGAGGCCUUAGGGGUGCUCUGAGGCCUCCAGAUACAAGGCAGGGCCUUCUGUGACUCAGAGGAUGGGCUCUUGGGUAGCUCGGUGGACGCUACUUGCAGCUUUGGCAGAAGGGAGAUGGUUUUGCGCCCCUUGGACUCUGCCGGGGGCGCCCCUUGGACUCGGCCGGGGGACUCUUGGGAGACAAGUCAGCAGGAUUACCUUCCGUGUGACCUCAGGCAGGUCACGUAACCACUUUGGACCUUGACUUCUUCACCUAUAAAAAGAAGGCCGGAGUUCCCUUCGUGGCUCAGUGGAAACAAAUCUGACUAGUAUCCAUGAGGACACAGGUUCGAUCUCUGGCCUCGCUCAGUGGGUUAGGAAUCCAGCAUUGCCGCAAGCUGUGGUGUAGAUCACAGAAGUGGCUCGGAUCCCCAGUUGCUGUGGCUGUGGUAUAGGCCAGCAGCUACUGCUCUGAUUUGACCCCUAGCCUGAGAAUCUUUAUAUGCUAUGGGUACAGCCCUAAAAGACAGGAAAAAAAGAGAAGGCAAUCAUUUCUAUUUUAAUUGGAAAAGGGAGACCUCAAUGAGGUAGUGUGUGUAAGCACCUAAUACAGGAACUGACACCUAGUAGGUGCUUAAAAAUGUUGGUUCCUAGCCAUUACCCCCUGAAAAAUCCUGGAGGGCUUCCUGGAGGUGGUGAUGCUAGCACUGAUGAGUGAAUGCAGGCAGGCAAAGAAGAGCAUUGAGGGGAGAAGCCACUUGGUGUGUACUGGGAGCCCUGGGGAGGUCUGGCUCAGGAAGAAGAGGUGGGAAGAGGUGGGAGGUAAACCUGCAGAGGUGGGUGGAGAAGGACGGCCACUGCCCCAGUACGCUUUGUGGACUUUCUCAGGGGCAGGCCAUGGAGCUGUGGAGGGAUUGAGUCAGAUGGACCUUUGACUCUGAACCUAACUGCCCCUUUCUGCCAAAGAGAGAGAACUCUGGUCUCUGCCUCCUGCGAGACCGGAGGCAAGUUGAAGCUCUCUGGUGCCUGCGACCCUGGACCCGGGCGUGGAUUUGGCUCUGCGGGGCCGUGUCAGCAAGCACAGCGCUGGAAACUCACUUGCUCCCCACACUCCCAUUUGGAACAAACUCUGCCUGCCUUAGACUGUUCUCACUGCUGGGGUUCAUUUAUUUAAUAAGAGUAGGGUUCGACUUGUUCUGUGUCCUUAGAUAAACCAAACCUGAAAACCACGGGAGCGCUUUUUUUUUUUUUUUUUUAAGCUGGGAAGUAAAGUGUGCUGGGUUUUCUAGUCUGUCUUAUUCCAGCCAUGACACAGACCCUGGGUCGGCAAGAUCUGGCUUCGGUGGGUCUGAGAGGCCCGUCUUUGUAUCGAGGGCCUGGUGUAUGCCAGGCUCCCUGCCAGGCCCUUGCAUGCUUCUUGGUGCCAUUGGUAUCCUCACUUUACAAACAAGGAAACUGAGGAACAGAGAGGUUAAUACACUUGCUCAGGGUCACAUAGCUAUUCGAUGGAGAAGCCAGAUUCAGUCCCACACUGGCUACACUUCACAGACUACCUUUUCUUUAGAGCGUAAUGUGAAAGCUGGGCUUCCUAAUUUUAAAAUCUAAUGGAACUGUGAAAUCUCUUCAUUUGUUAUUGGAAUGUAUGCAGCUUUAAAGUCCUCUAAUUUUUUUGUUAAUUGCCACUACCACCUUAAAGAAACUGACAUUUAAGAAAUGUACCUAUGGGAGUUCCCACUGUGGCUUAAUGGAUUAAGAGCCUGACUAGUAUCCAUGAGAAUGUGGGUUUGAUCCUUGGCCUUGCUCAGUGGGUUAAGGAUCCUGUGUUGCCAUAAGCUGCGGUGGAGGUCACAGACAUGGCUCUGAUCCUGCUUUGCUGUGUCUGUGAUGUCAGCUGGCAGCUGCAAUGCUGAUUCGACCUCUAGCCUGGGAGCUUCCGUGUGCUGUAGGUGCAGCCCUAAAAAGAAAA